rnacentral:rRNA from 1 species
AUGAGAAAAGAGUUUGGUUGUUUUGGUAUUACUGACUUAGGAGAUUUAAAUUUAGCUUUACUAGCUUCUUGGAUUAACAAAUACUACAACUCUGAUGGCAAAAUUUGGAAGAAUAUUAUUGACUCCAAAUGUAAUCCUCAGAAUAGUAAUAUUUUUGCUUGCUCUGCUACGGGAGCCUCCCCUUUCUGGAAAGGAGUGAUUUGGGCAGCUCAAGCUGCCAAAGUUGGCUUCUCCUGGAAAGUGGGCAACGCUAAGAGAACUAGAUUCUGGGAGGACCAUUGGUUUGGCAAUGCUACCUUGGCUACCCAAUAUUGGGAUUUGUACAACCUAGCUAAUGAACAUAAUGUCACUAUUAAUAAUAUUUGGGAUGGCCGUAACCUUAAACUUACGUUUAGAAGAUGUUUUACGCAUGAGCAGAUAGCUCUUUGGUUUGAACUUGUAGAAAUUGCCAGUUCCAUUCAGUUAGUAGAUGAGGAUGACCCCCCUGUGUGGAAUCUGAAUUCCAAAAAAGUAUUUACAGUUAAGUCCUUCUACAAGUUCAUUAAUUUCCGGGGGGGUCUUGCCUACUACUUCUCCUGCUGUUUGGAAUUUAAAAAUUCCCCCUAG